UAUGUGCAUCGUGGUAGAGAUUUGU
rnacentral:piRNA from 1 species